CUACGUGCCAGCAGCCGCGGUCAUACGUAGGAUCCGAGCAUUAUCCGGAGCGACUGGGUGUAAAGAGUUGCGUAGGUGGCAAGGUAAGUAGAUAGUGAAAUCUGGUGGCUCAACCAUUCAGACUAUUAUCUAAACUAUCUAGCUCGAGACUGUUAUGGGUAACUGGAAUUUCUAGUGUAGGAGUGAAAUCCGUAGAUAUUAGAAGGAACACCGAUAGCGUAGGCAGGUUACUGGGACAGUUCUGACACUAAGGCACGAAAGCGUAGGGAGCAAACGGGAUUAGAUACCCCGGUAGUCUACGCCGUAAACGAUGGAUACUAGCAGUUUUGGGUAUCGACCCCCGGAGUUGCGAAGCUAACGCGUUAAGUAUCCCACCUGUGUAGUACGAUCGCAAGAUUAAAACAUAAAGGAAUUGACGGGGACCCGCACAAGCGGUGGAGCGUGAUCUUUAAUUCGAUGGUAAACGAUAAACCUUACCAAGGCUUGACGUCCGAUGUAGGCUCUCGAAAGAGAACUGUGC
rnacentral:rRNA from 1 species